GAUCCUGGCUCAGGACGAACGCUGGCGGCGUGCUUAACACAUGCAAGUCGAACGGACAGACAGAGAGCUUGCUCUCUUGAAGUUAGUGGCGAACGGGUGAGUAACGCGUAAUCAACCUGCCCUUCAGAGGGGGAUAACAACGGGAAACCGUUGCUAAUACCGCGUACGAUUCACGAGCGGCAUCGCUUGUGAAUGAAAGGUGGCCUCUAUAUAUAAGCUAUCGCUGAAGGAGGGG
rnacentral:rRNA from 1 species